rnacentral:rRNA from 1 species
GACGUAGGGUCCAAGCGUUGUCCGGAUUUACUGGGCGUAAAGAGCGCGUAGGCGGUCUGUUAAGUGUAGAGUGAAAGCUCCGGGCUCAACCCGGAAAUUGCUCUGCAUACUGGCAGACUUGAGGAUGGAAGAGGUUUGUGGAAUUCCUGGUGUAGCGGUGAAAUGCGUAGAUAUCAGGAGGAACACCGGUGGUGUAGACGGCUUUCUGGACCGUAACUGACGCUGAGACACGAAAGCGUGGGUAGCAAACAGG